rnacentral:misc_RNA from 1 species
AACGCACAUUGCGCCCGCCAGUAUUCUGGCGGGCAUGCCUGUUCGAGCGUCAUUUCAACCCUCAGGCCCCCAGUGCCUGGCGUUGGGGAUCGGCGCGGGCCGGGGUCGUCCUCCGGGACGGUCCCGCGCCUGCCGGCCCCGAAAUUCAGUGGCGGUCUCGCUGUAGUCCCCCUCUGCGUAGUAGCACAACUCGCAUUGGAGCUCGGCGGUGGCCAUGCCGUAAAACACCCCACUUCUGAAAGUUGACCUCGGAUCAGGUAGGAAUACCCGCUGAACUUAA